AUUUUGUGGAGCCUAUUCAGAAGCAUUGGGUUUUUUUCCAGAGAAUGAGCUCACCUUGAUGAUGGCGUACUCGGGUUCGCCUGUGUCGUCCCAUAGGUCCUGCUCGUAGUAGAAGAGCCCGUCGUUGAUCACUUUCCCGAGCUCGCAGGUCAGCUUGGAGCGCGAGGUGUGGUGUCCCGUGCGAUCACCCCCCGGGUGCUUCCUCAGCACCGCCUGGGUCAGACUUCUGUGGGAGCAUCUUUCAUUACCCUUCACUGAAGUAAGUGACCUGAACACACUGACCUCUGAGGUCGUUCCUGGCGUUGGGGGGCAGACGGGGGUUUUCGUUCUGCCGGCUGUUGUUCCUGGAGGCCGAACGCUCCCUUGGACCCUCGGACUUCACCUCGAUCAUCAGGGGAACCCACUUCUGCUUGUUUCCUAUUUGUCACGACGGAAAGAGGCAACACGCAUGCCAACUGACACCUGCUUAAUCCAAAAUGUACCUUUUUUCUUCGGUCCGUUCUUCUGGGAGUCAUCGUCGCCAUUCUUCUCCUCUCCAGAGUCGUCCGACUUGGCCUUCAGGUUCUCCUUGCUCUCCUCGUUGCUCUCCCUCUUCUCCUUCAACUCCUUAGACUCCUUCUUGACUGUCGGCGUCUUCUUAGGAGCCUGCAGAGGAAACAGAUUCAAACAUUUAGAAAAGAGCUGGAGAAAUCGUUCAAUCUUUCACAGGAGACUGAAGACCUAUUCAAACAAAAUAUGAGUUAUUGGGGAAAUUGCACAAAACUAUUUGGGGGUAAAACAUUUUUCCAGGACAUGAAAUUGGUUGAAAAUGAUGCCACAGAUACAAAGUUGUAUUCUUACAUAUUCAGGUUAUUUUAUCCAAUUUGGCAAAAGUGGAAUCCAAGCUUAAAACCAUAUAUUUGUUGGUUAAACAUGCACAAGGAAAUAACAGUCAUGCUAUAGACUGCUAGCUUAACCCGUCCCCAAUCAAGUGAAAUACGGUGCUAUGCUAGCUGUCAAGCUUUUUAGCAUGCCAAAGCAGUUGGCAUAGAGCUCUGAUGAGAUAUACAUGAAGGGUUAUGAAUUUGGACCUUUACAACAAGUCAGACUACGUCGUUAGCAUAAUCGAGUUAACGUAGCUUAUUCAUCUAACAACUGCUAAUAAAAAAUGCCCAUGAUCAUUGUUCAAAUGCCUUUUAGUUUUCUUUGUUUACUUGCUUCAAUGCUGAGAUCAGAGUUGUGAAAAAUUCUCUUCAUUGUUUUUUAGUCAGAGAAGAGACAUGAAGUGCUCAUCAUCUCUACAGCACGCCUGCAGGGUAAAUAUGAUUGUAACAUCUUUUCACCGAGCAACCAAAGGGUUUUAAAUUGUUUACAAUAAAAAACAGACUAAAACUAAAGACUGUAAAAUAUAUAUAUUUUAAAGAAAAGGUAUACACAUAUGGAAAAGUUCGGAACGUGUUUUAACCAUUCCUAUUCCUCGCUCUAAACUGGAAGCUAAUGACAGUUAAUGUUCAUAGUUGUCAUUUCAGAUAGAUCUUUUGUCUAGCAACAGUUAUUAAGUGAUUGGGUGGGGCUUAGGGAACAGUCGAAUGUUGCAAUAUGAAAAUACGUUAUCCGAGCAUAUGAAGCACUGUAAAAUAAAACAUCACUCAUUUCUAUAUUCAACUAGUUUGCAACAGACAUCAAAUGUAUCAUUUAAUAUCUUUGA